AGUUUUGAUAUUGUUGAGGAUGAUGAGGGUACAACUAGUCCUAGUUGGAAGGUUACUGCUCAAUUAGAUACUGAGCAACAGUUUCUUAGAAAGACUUACCAGGGGCCUUGGACCAAGAAACUGGAAGGAGUGACGGAUGCUGAUAUACAGCAAAUGGACAAGAUCCAAAUGGAAGUGGGAGGCAAAGAGACAGCUAAGAUUGUUUGGGGUUCCAGCAGGAAGGCUAUCCCCACAGAGGUCUAACCACUCAAGUGUGCCCUAAGUCAGGAGGAUGGCUUGAAGGAGCUUCAUGAUUUGGAGAGUUCAUUUUGCUUCAUUUCCUAUCAAAUCAUUGCAAGAACUUAAGU